UGUCCGAAGGGUGGAGCUGCAGGAGAUUGAUAAGGGCCUCCGCAAGAAGUUUCCUCCAGUGUUCAGUUGACCUUUUUUCCUUUUUAAAUGUCUUUUUGGUCCUUAAGAAGAGGAGCAAAGCCUUUGGAACACGCUGAGAUUCCACUUCAGAUCUGUUGCUAUGGCUCAGGCAGGCGAGUGUUUGGGUGGGAUCUCACUGUGCACUGUAAGCACUGUGUGCCUUGUCACUUAAAGCUACUUAAAAACUCACCAGAGCUCACUACUUAAAGGGAUCCUACAGCAAAUCCUCUCAUAAGGCAGCAAGAAUACUUGCAUUUGUUUAAACUGUCUGUGUUGUGGCUUGUUUCUAAUGUGUAGGAGCCAGAGUUGAGGGGUCUUUCCUUAGUGCAUCUGUAGAGUCUUCCAAGGCUGCUGAGUGGACCUUCAUUUGCUUAAGAACAGGCAACGCACUUGGCUUGGUACCUGUCACAAGCUGACUCCCCAGUCGAGAGCAAGGCUGGCUAUUCCCUCUUCAGAGAAAGGAGGCAGCAUGGAAGACAGUGCAAAGCUUUCAGGGCAGAUUCAGAGUCUCACCUUUGCCUCUGUGACCUGGAACAACUUAAUCCCUCAGGAUCUGCUUCCAUAUUUGUUUUGGAGACAGCAAUGCCGUCUGUCAGAGGUAUUGAGUCUCCAGCUCUUUUCAGGAAAUCUGCAAUCUCCCUCUUCACAAUGCAACUGCCCAGCUCUCUAUAUGGUGAGGACUGGAAGUCAGGAUUUCUGAAGAAGAAAAAAUAAAGCCACUGGAAGCAGUGGGCCUCCAGCUUUGACUAAGUUAGCCUUUGGAGCUACGGUGAGGGCUGUCCUCCCCACAAUCUGGGACACGUGGUCUCUAAUCCACUCACAGCCUUGGACUUUUGUAAGGUGGCUGGACUGGGGGUGUAGCUUCAGCUAUCAAAAUGAAAUGAGAAGAGCUCAGUGCUCCCUUGGUAGAGCUGGAGAAAAACCUCUUCCACUGAAGAAAAAGCCUCUUUUUCUCAACAAAUGCAGCAAGCCUUUGCUGAUAGGUCCUGAGAACUGCAUCCUUUCUUGCCUACAGCCAUCUCAAGGGCCUGCUGCAGUGUCAGACGCCAAGGAAGUGCUCAGUAAUUGACUGAGUACGUGCACGAAGGGGUGACUCCGAAUGUUCCACAGUGACCAACCAAAUCACCGGGAAUUUGGCCUUAGCCAAAAACCUGCCAAAUUCUUCCUGGGGGGAGGCAUCCUCACAUUGUAUGCUUCAAUGAGGGUGAGCUUAAGGGCCAGCUCCCUGGAGAAAGAUUGUAAUGGAAGGAGAAAAUCACCACAACGCCAUGUUUUUCCAAGUGUUAGCCAUUUAUAAAUAAGUACAUUUGCUUUCAUACAUACAGUUCAUUGUACAGAUGACGAUCUGUAUACAUGGGGCAGGAAAAUGCAUUCGUUUGAACUUUUCACAUCUAUCUCACACAGCUCACAUGUACAGACAAUAAAAUUGCUCAAGCAAGUACAGCAAAGGAAAAUGUCUUUCCUUAUACACAGGGGGCGAGAUGCCUCUGUUGGGUGUGGGACAUCCCCACUGCACGAGUUCACAACUGUGUGGUGUUCAAUAUAUCAGGAUAGAGAACAAACAUGCAUUGGAUAAUAUACUGUACAGAGAAAGUCCUUUACAUCUGAAUUAUAGAAAACCUAAAGGAAAACUAAGUGCAUUAAAGCUUUUUCCAGCAAGUGUCUUGAAAGGACAGCAAAGAGGAGGAAGAAUCAAAAUCAUAUUAGUACAAAUCACUCUUUAAUUGUAGACUGUACAUGUCUGUACUAAUUAAAAUCAUCUUGGAUUUGGAGGAGACAGAACAGAGACAGAGACGCUGUGCUAGAUGGAAAGGAGGCCAUGCCUGAGAAUGGCACCUGCCCUGAGCCCGACAAGGAACUGGCCCCACUCAGCAGGAAUCAGCCAAAGGGAACAACAAAACAAAACAGGAUAGCAAGUGUAACUUACAGGAUUUCCAAAAUAACCUGUGAGUGAAGCGGAGAUCUAGAGCCAGCAUCUCUUUUUUUUUUUUUUCCCAGUAAAUUGGUACACAAUAAGGCAGGUACAUUCAAGUACUGAAUUUUCCCAAAUUAACUCUUGUCUGGUCCUGGGAACCAAAGGGAAUAAGCUGAGGCCCCCUAACCAGAUUUUCUGGCAAGUGAUUAGAAAAAAAAAAAAAUUCAGCCAGCAAGUGCUACCAAAACAAAGCAGCUAGGGCACUUCCUUUCCACAGAGUAGGUCUAUCUGAAAAGAUGAGAGUGACGCUGGCCUGCAUCUACAUGCAUCCAGCUACAGCCUGGCAGCUCAGCUUAGUGUAGGUAUCACAGAGUCAGCAGGAAGAAAUGAGAUGAUGUGGGUGAGGAAACAUGAAAGUAACACUUGAUUUUUGGUGUCCAAUUACGCGUUCAUUUGGUACUGACUUUCAAAGCUCUGACUGGCCAUCAUUUGGCCACUAGCAUCUCAGGGUGGCUCAGCUGCUGUGAGGCAUUGGACACCGAAAUGAAGGUUACCAACACUUCAGCCCUUGAGUGGUCUGUAUUAUAAAAGGAGUUGAUGAAGACCCAGUGAUUAUUCAAGUAGCUCUGCACAGUGGCUCCUCCAGCCCCAUUGUGCUUGUGUCCAGGCCCUCAGCCAGCCACCUUUUCUUGGGAGCAGCCAGAGCUGAGUUCAAGGCAUUGCAUGGUGAAGGUUUCCAUGACACGUCUUUGUAGGUAGCUCUUACCCCUAAGCCCUUUGUUCAUUGUUAGUCAUGGUAGAUGGUCGGUCUGGAAUUCCUAGAGGAAAAGGAGAAAAAGCCACACCUCCCAAUGAGCAUGCAACAGGACAGCUCAGCCCUCGGCGUGGAAGCAUCAGCGGGCUGCCUUUGCAGGUUGGCUUCUUGAGAAGCGGGCAGCCCAGGGACAGACAGGCAGGGUGGAUGAGGCUGCUGGGCACUGGGAGCAUCGAUAGGAGACUGGGCACAGGGAUGGGCACAUUCUGCCCCCUGGGGGAGCCUGUUCCAUUUUGUGGCAAAGAUUCAGUAAGCAACUGGUUUUGUCCAAGGCAUUUCUGCAGUAGAAAAAUAGCUAUCUUUGAAUCGAACCACCCAACUGAGACACCUCUAGAGUAAUAGAAGUUGGAGGCUGAGAGGAACUGAGAGGAAGGAGGCUUGUGGGAAGGAAGGGGCUCUCUACAUACCCAUCCAUCCACCAGAACAAGGGAGUUCUAGUCAACCUUCUCCCAGCCUCUGCCGGGCCUCAGGUCCAUGGCAUGUAGUGUUCUAAGAGUUUGUCUUGCCCUGUGGCACAGAUGCACGAAGACCCCUUCCAGGCCUUUGUUCCCUUCUUCCUGAACCUCUGAGCCUGCGUGCUGCCCUAGGAGAGGCUGCCAUUCUUUGCUACAAGACAAGCGUGGUGCAGAGCCACAUUGACACCUAGUGGUCAAGUAUGGUGAAGCACAGUUGACGUCCACAUAUCCCACCGUGUAUGACUAAAAUCUAAGGAAAAAUACUUACGGAUAUUAGAUACUGAUUUUAAAUUUUUCUAUUGGGUACAUCUCUGGAAUAUAAAAAUACCAAUAUUUAGAGAGGGGAUCAUAAACUACUAUACAAUAUAAGGACUGAGAAUACCUUUCUCUAAGCUGUUCUGUUUACAAUAAUUUAGGAAAAGUGUUUAAUAAUCCAGGCUUAACUAAAUUAGUAAAAUCGUUUAUCUGGACAACGACCUGGGGUACUGUACAUGAUUCUAAUUAAUGGAAUUUUCCUGAGCCAUCAAGUUUAAGUUAAACACAUCUAAAAAGAGGGGCAUAUGGGAGAGGAACAAGAAUGGUUUGUGCUCUAUUAACUUGGGACUUUAAUAGUGCACAUCUGCAACCCGGACAAGAUACAACAGCAGAUACAAAAUGGCCUCCAUUUUGUCCAUGCCAAAUUCUCAUGUUACACAGGUUUUCCCUUUACUUUGUAAAUAAACAUUAAUUUUUAAUUGUUAAUUGUGUGCCUUACUGAUCCAGUAAAUAAAGUAACCAUGUCUCAGGAGUCCCUAAGAAAAUUGCUGGAAAAGCACUUUAAAAUCACUGCAAAUAUUUUUUUGUAUUAAAAAAAUUCUUAAUCUUUUUGAUGCUUAUAUACAACAGUUAUUUCUUGUGCUAUAAAUGUUGUGAUCCACUG